rnacentral:rRNA from 1 species
GAUUAUGGCUCAGGACGAACGCUGGCGGCGUGCCUAAUACAUGCAAGUCGAACGGUCUUUCUAUGGAAGCUUGCUUCCACUGAAAAGAUAGUGGCGAACGGGUGAGUAACACGUGGGUAACCUGCCCAUAAGAGGGGGAUAACAUCCGGAAACGGGUGCUAAUACCGCAUAGUUUUCUUGAUCGCAUGAUCGGGAAAGGAAAGACGGCCUUUGUGCUGUCGCUUAUGGAUGGACCCGCGGCGUAUUAGUUAGUUGGUGAGGUAACGGCUCACCAAGACGAUGAUACGUAGCCGACCUGAGAGGGUGAUCGGCCACAUUGGGACUGAGACACGGCCCAAACUCCUACGGGAGGCAGCAGUAGGGAAUCUUCCGCAAUGGACGAAAGUCUGACGGAGCAACGCCGCGUGAGUGAAAGAAGGUUUUCGGAUCGUAAAACUCUGUUGUCAGAGAAGAACAAGUUGGAGAGUAACUGCUCCAGCCUUGACGGUAUCUGACCAGAAAGCCACGGCUAACUACGUGCCAGCCGCCGC